CGAACGCUGGCGGCAGGCUUACCACAUGCAAUUCGAGCGGGCCCUUCGGGGUCAGCGGCAGACGGGUGAGUAACGCGUGGGAACGUGCCCUUCGGUUCGGAAUAACUCAGGGAAACUUGAGCUAAUACCGGAUACGCCCUUAUGGGGAAAGGCUUGCUGCCGAAGGAUCGGCCCGCGUCUGAUUAGCUAGUUGGUGAGGUUAUGGCUCACCAAGGCGACGAUCAGUAGCUGGUCUGAGAGGAUGAUCAGCCACACUGGGACUGAGACACGGCCCAGACUCCUACGGGAGGCAGCAGUGGGGAAUAUUGGACAAUGGGGGCAACCCUGAUCCAGCCAUGCCGCGUGAGUGAUGACGGCCUUAGGGUUGUAAAGCUCUUUUCUCCGGGACGAUAAUGACGGUACCGGAGGAAUAAGCCCCGGCUAACUUCGUG
rnacentral:rRNA from 1 species